GAAGUGUGGACGCCAGUCUGCAUGGAGCCAACCUUGAAAUACCACCCUUUAAUGUUUGAUGUUCUAACUCGGCCCCAUUAUCUGGGGUGAGGACAGUGUCUGGUGGGUAGUUUGACUGGGGCGGUCUCCUCCCAAAGAGUAACGGAGGAGCACGAAGGUUAGCUAAUCACGGUCGGACAUCGUGAGGUUAGUGCAAAGGCAUAAGCUAGCUUGACUGCGAGAGUGACGGCUCGAGCAGGUACGAAAGUAGGUCUUAGUGAUCCGGUGGUUCUGAAUGGAAGGGCCAUCGCUCAACGGAUAAAAGGUACUCCGGGGAUAACAGGCUGAUACCGCCCAAGAGUUCAUAUCGACGGCGGUGUUUGGCACCUCGAUGUCGGCUCAUCACAUCCUGGGGCUGAAGUAGGUCCCAAGGGUAUGGCUGUUCGCCAUUUAAAGUGGUACGCGAGCUGGGUUUAGAACGUCGUGAGACAGUUCGGUCCCUAUCUGCCGUGGGCGUUGGAAGAUUGAGAGGGGCUGCUCCUAGUACGAGAGGACCGGAGUGGACGAAUCACUGGUGUUCGGGUUGUCAUGCCAAUGGCAUUGCCCGGUAGCUAAAUUCGGAAGAGAUAACCGCUGAAAGCAUCUAAGCGGGAAACUUGCCUCGAGAUGAGUCUUCCCUGGGGCUU
rnacentral:rRNA from 1 species